rnacentral:snRNA from 1 species
UCGGACGUCUUCGGCGUUCGA